AUGGGUGAGGGUUCUGUGUGGUGUAGAUGCUGUCAGUCAGCCAGGCCUUGCUUCUCACAAGGGGCGUUUCUGGGUAGAACGUGGAUCUUACUCACCCUGGGGUCUGUGUGGGCUCAAGGAGGAUCCCAUCUCCCCUUAUGUGUCUGAUACAGGAUCAGAUGUGGCCGCCCAGCAGCUGUGCACGUUGGGAGGAGGAGGGUCCAGGUGGGAAAAGGGAGCGAGACACAGGAAAGAGCACAGGCUUCCCCGUUCAGACCUGGGUUCCCGCCCCACCCCUUUUUUCUGUAAAGGAAUCCCUGACAUCCUCGUCCAUCUCCUGUGCCUUUCCGCUGGGUCAGCCUUCUCCCGCCACGCUUCUAACCCGCUGCCACCGGCAGCUCCACUCUAGCUGCAGGGCCUGACUGGGCUCUGGUUUCUCAGAAGAGCUCAGAGGACCUGGCUCCUCCCUCUUUGCUUCUGAACUGCAUUUCUUUCCUUAUUACUCAGUGUCCACACCCACGGUGGCUGCCUGGAUAAAAAUCUGCCCCCUUCUCCCGUCACCUUUCAUGCCAGACAAAAGCCCCAGUAAGUAAUGGCGACCUACCCAGGUCCGGCUAGCAGCUCUCCAUUCCUGAGGGGUCUGGGGCAGAACGGGGUCGUGUGAGCUCCUGGACCCCAAGUCUGAUUCCCUUUCCCUGUCUUCCCGCUCAUCUGCUAAGCUUGUUGAUUGGGUGCCACUAAGCAAAGUGAAUGAUUCUUGCCUGUAACUAGGAGGGGUGGAGUUCCCUCUCCAUCUUCACCCACUUCUGGGAGGCUUUCAGGGACUCACCACCCCACACUUGAUGCCUGGCCCAGACAGCCAAAGAAGAGGACCAGGCCGCUUCUCAACCCAGCUGACGCUUGGCAGCUUUGUGACCUCGGAUACACCUUCUCUUGGGAGGCCAGGCCCCGUGAUCCUAACUCUUCAGCUAUGACAUCAUGUGAGGCUACAAUUUUUUUUUUUAAGAGACAGUAUCUUGCUAUGUUGCCCGGGUUGGUUUUGAAAUCCUGGGCUUAGGCGAUUCUCCUGUCUCAGCCUCCCAAGUAGCUGGAACUUAGGGCGUGAGCCACCGCACCCACCUUCUGGAAAGGACAUGAAUAGGGAAGUGGAACUUGAUUGGACCUGUUCUGUGAGCUCAGGAGAGGUCCUCUGACAACUCACUUGGGGUAGGGAAAGGAGGUAAAGAGUCCUGUGGAAACCUCUGGCUGUGGGGACCCCAGUUCACUGAUGAUUGAAUGGGUCUACCUCUGUCAAAGGAGUUCAGAGUCCCACUCAUCAUUCAGACUGGGGGAAUCAGGCUCAGCUGACUGGCCCAGCCUUAAAUCCACUGAAUUUCUUUUUAUCUCUACAUAGAAAAACAGGAUUACAGUCGCUUCUCAGUGUCCAGUGAGGAUUGGUUCCUGGAGCCCCCCGAAUACCCGUCCAGGGGUGAUGCUCAAACCCCUUAUGUGUAACCUACACGCAUCCUCCCUUAUAUCCUUUAACUCAUCUCUGCGCUCCUCAAAUACCUCAUACCAUGUAAAUGCUGUGUAAACAGUUCUUGUGCUGUGUUGGUUUUUUAAUUUGUAUUAUUUUUUCUUGUGUUUUUAAAAUAUUUUUCUUUUCCUGAAUAUUUUUGAUCCACGGUUAGUUGCCUCCAUGGGUGCGGAACCCACAGACACGGAGGCUGCCUCUACUCAAACGAGCACGGCGGCGCCCUCUGGGUCCUCCUGUGGUCCUGUCUCUGGUGCUGCGUCCGCACGGCGGCGAACAGCAAAACUCAUCUUUUGCAAAUGAUCACUGUGGAGCGGAGUUCCGCUCUGUGACCUUUCGUCCCACUCUGGCUUACCAGAGGUCCCCUGGCCGUGGCCACAGCAUACCUAGCCUAGUGCUUGGCACCUCAGGCACACAAUAAAUCUUUAUGAAAUGGAUCUUCUCUGGUA